rnacentral:lncRNA from 1 species
UUGUGUUUGAUUUCUAUUAACCAUCUCUUCCACAUACUCAGCCUCCUUCCCAACUUCCCCAUGGCUGAGAGGAUAUCCCCGCCCAGCCCUCAGGCUCUCAGCCUUUCAACUCAAAUGUCACCUUAGAGAAACAGUGUCCAUGACCCCUACGGUAGCCACAGGUCCCAUUUUGUCAUCUUCACUGCAUUUGCCAGUCUGUGAAAUUAGCUUACUGAUUUAUCUGUUCCAGUUUUUAUGAUCUGGCCCCUGCUUUCCCGCCUUUGCACUAGAAUAUACAGGGACUGUCUGUCUUGCUCAGUGUUUGACAGCCACCCUACCUACCCCACCCCAACUCUACCACACCUAGAAGGAAGUGCUCAGUAAGUAUUUGCUGACUUACUAACUCUUAAGUUUUUCCUGAUUCCUCUUUCUCCUUUGACCCCAAAUCCAGAUAUAAUCACUUAUUUACCUAUCUAUCCUACUCCAGGAGGAGUUUAAGAAUAAUUGUUUUUGUUUUUGUUUUUUUUAGACGGGGUCUCUCUCUCUCACUCUUGUCAACUAGGCUGGAGUGCAGUGGCGUGAUCUUGGCUCACUACAACCUCCGCCUCCCGGGUUCCAGCGAUUCUCCUGCCUCAGCCUCUAACGUAGCUGGAUUACAGGCGCCUGCCACCACGCCUGGAUAAUUUUUGUAUUUUUCGUAGAGACAGGGUUUCACCAUGUUGGCCAGGCUGGUCUCGAACUCCUGACCUCAAGUGAUCUGCCUGCCUCGGCCUCCCAAAGUAUUGGGAUGAAAGGCAUGAGCCGCUGUGCCCAGCCAGUUUAAGAAUAUUUCAAUCACUUAGUAAGACCUUUUAAUGUAAACUCCUUGAUGUCUCUUGACUUCAUCCUGAUUUAUUUCCUGGGAAACAAGAGAGCUCAGGGUUAGACAGUUUGUUCCCUCUAAGUCACUGUAGUUUAUGUUAAGUGGGAUUAGCUCCCGGUGGUGUUUCACUGAAAACCUGCUUACCGCUUAGUUGAUUAACUGCUACUCCACAUAACACAUUCCUUCCUUAUGACCAAAUUACUGCCAGAGCCUUCUAACUUCUCUGCACCCACUCCAGUCUAGCUGAGGCCUGAGGAAUAGAUGGAUAAAUAACAGUAUCUGAGACCUGCUGUUGGUGUAUGUUAAAUGUUCUUUAAAAAGCGUCAACCAUCCCCAACACACGACUCUCCUGAAAGGGAAAGGUAUGCGGGUUUGCAGAGGAGGGGAGAGUUGGGUGGGUGAUGACGGUCUCAGAAUGUGACUCUAGAGAAAUCAUUUCAUCUCUGUUGGAAAGUCCUUGUUUCACUUGCAUUGUGUUUUAAGGCUGGGAAGGGGUAGACACUGAGCUCUUUCUAAUGCCAAGCCUUCAUCAGAAAGCAGCUGUAAUAUAGAAAAAAUGCUUUGCCUAAUCCUGUUUUCAUGAUGGUUUCUAGGCAACCGCUUGAUGCAAACUAGUUUGUAAACAGCUGGCAGCUAGAUAACCAAGAGAAAAAGGGGCACUUAAAACAGACGGUCAAACAAAGAUCUGCAGAAGGGAAAGGCAUCAUCAUGGGUUUUUCACACAGCCCAGUAAGAUCACAAGGUCCUGUAACCUCUCCAGGAGGGAAAAGCAGCAGGGGUGUGUGAGCUGUAAACCUGGAAGAAUAAACAGCACUCUCCUGAUGAAUCACAGGGAAAGAGAAAUUCUUCAUGUCAUUCUUCACGGAGGAGACAAGAUCAAAAUCUUGAGAGGCUACCUCUCUGCAUGGGUUUCUGUCUGGUAUUCUGAAGUUCCACAAACAUAAGUAGAGUCCUGCCCUUUGACCUUGAGAUACAGGUUGUACCUGUCCUGUCUACGCAUGAGGGAUAACUAAAAUGACAACUGAAAUUGUGAAAUGACCCACAGCAUUUAAUGAUCACCGAGAACAAAAGUGUAGGAUCUUAGUGCUUGUUUACAUUUGGCUUGAAUUGUGUAUUAUUUUUCCUGAAAAAGAAAGACUAGUAAUCCUAGGGACAUAAUCCACAGCUUACAAAUACUCUUGCUCUUGCAGGUGGUGACAGCAGAUAGCUACCCAGAAGUAGGGGUGGACCCAGGCAGGGGGCAGGGGGCUAGGGAUCCUCUCAGAGGUUCCUGUUUGCUCCCUGUUCUAACUAUAAUGGCCACGGCUUUCUAUUUUCAGAAAACUUUUAGCAAAAAGGAAAGAACCACAAAGAAAUCAUCAGGAGCACUGCAGGCAGCACACAUUUAAGCUCUAUAAAGGCAGCUUAUGCUUGCGUCCAAACUACCCUAGGAGCACUCCUAUUUUUUAAAAUGAAUAACUUUGUGUUGCCAAACUCCCCAGGUCCACCACAUGUAAAGUUUAUCUGUAACAGCAGCCUAAAGAGUUUGGAAUGCUCAUGGUAUUGUCUGGCCAUGAGAGAGGAGGUAAGAGGAGAAGAGGAAGGCAUGGAGGCUAGAAAGUAGGAAGACCAGCUGCCCCAGUUGCCUCAGACUUUUCUGGUUGUAAAGUUCCACAUCCUGGGAUAUCUCUCAGUCCCACAGAAGUCGGAACAACUGCCCAACCUACAAAGGAAUAGAAAGAAGACUACAAACGUUGCCUAAGCACAAGUGUAAUUAGUCACUCAAGACUCCCAGUGACUGAGAACCCAGACCCAAGAAACCAGGUCCUGUAACUGCCAGAGUCUGGGUUCUUAUUUAACAUAAAACUCUAAAGUUCCCUGGACAGAGCCACUGGUAGAGACACCAUUCUCCCACCACGUUAACCUACAUUUAAAAGUAAAUAAUGAAUGACCAUGAUAAACCAAUCACUCUCUUGACCCCUAAUUCUCACCAGGCUGACCUUUUUAUAAGUGGUUACAGAUACGCUACUACUUCAUCAUUAGAAACCCCCUGAAAUCCUUGCCCAUUUCCAUCUUCAAUGAGUACAGUAAGAAUCCAUCCAACAGGUAUAGAAAAAGCACGUGUUCACAGACAGUUUCUCUAAGGAGCAAGCAGCAAAGCCCUGGUGGAUUGAAGCUGGUCGCAUCCUGGUUUGGUAAGCACCACAGGAUGGGGGAGGGCGAAGAUGGCAGUCUUAUGAUUAGUUCUUCAGCACGGCCACCUCACUCCUCUCCCCUUAAUCCCCACACGCCAAACUUACACGUCCGGUUCAGAAAUACUCAUGGAGUCUAGAAAUAUGUGUGAGGGCACUUGGCAUUUUCACUUCUAAUUUGUGAUUCAAUUAUUGUUCUAAUUGGAAGAUAAUCUGAAACAAACAUAACUCAGAAAAUAAUUUAACAGGCACCCCUGAAAUCCACCACCUCGACUUUUCAAAUGUAAAUCUGCAAUCUUGGCCUCAAAUUUUUGAAAAAGAACUGAAAUAUUACCAAUAAAACUAAAACCCACCUCAAAGAGGCAGAUCUGAGCACCAUCCUCUCCUUUUUAUAAAGGCAGAAACUGAAGCUCGGAAAGAUUAAUAUGCCUCGUGUUCCAUUACUGGAACACUAAGCAUGCGGGAGUUAUUUAUAUCCUACUGCUCAAGGUCAUCGCCAAGGUCUGAUGUUUCAUUCAUGCAAAAAUUCAAAAAAUUACAACCUAAGGCAUAAAGGGGUUAAAUAACUUACCCCAGGAUGUAUGGGGACAGUCACUGGACACAUUCAAGUCCUAGUCUUCCUUGCUGCAAGUAAAAUUUCUCUCAGUGGGUACCUUUCAAUCACUUGAAAUCACUCAUACUUUGAUGUUUAAAACACUAGCUAAGGCACUUAAUUUCAGGUCUCAGAUUUUGCUGCCACUUGUGUUACUAGGCACCAGGUAUUUGGUGGCAAGACAGAACCAUCAGUUUGCCUCAGGAAUGUAAGACUUUGAAUCAGAGAAGACCCAAAGGCCUUCUAAUUAUUUAUAAACAGUUGUUUCCCACUUACAAGUGGAAAUAAAAUUAAAAAGCACAAACCGAGUGAGACGAAUAAGCUAUAAGGAGUAGAAUACAAUUUCAAUCUAAUUGAACAUUUUCAUUAUAGAGCAUUUUCAAAUAAGUGUUUAGUCAAUUUACUUUAGAGAGCAUCUCAGGUCAGUGUCUGGUUUAAAUUCCAACUACCACUCUUGCCAGAAGAAAAUCGUUUCGCAGUGUUAGCAGUGGACAGUAAUACCCGGGUUUCCUCCCCAGUGCAAGUUUCCAGUAAUAGAAUUAAUUUGAAGUCAAUUUCUUCUAAAUCAAAUCUGAGCUCUCUCUUAUUCACAAAAGCUCCUAAGCCCACCUGAGCUGCUUUCAAACUGCCAUUGCACUCUCUACCUUCCAUCUUUCAGGUCCUGGCAAUCCUUCACACGGACAGCCAUGCCGAAUAUUUCUCGAGAAGCCAGCAGCCCAGGCUUCACAAGUUUUCUUCAAAGAACGCACCUGUAAGAAAGAAGACUGGCUGUACAAGAAGAGUGGUAAAUGCAAUGACAUUUAUCUCUUUCCUCUGCUAAGGUAUUAAUUCAUCAAUAAGCAAAAACACUUCAGAUGCAUUCCUACUAAUUUUUGCUGUAUCACAGGGUGGAAGACUGUUUGGUCCCAAGGGAAUAAUGGCUACAAUCUAGGACCUCCUCCCAGAAGGCAGGAACAUUGUGUCUGGCGUGUUCCGUCCUAGGCCUGGCCCACUGAAGUCCCAGGAGCUGUUCAACUGAAUCAGUCACUUUCUAGUUUUCCCCUAAAUCCAGGUCAUCACUGUUCCUAAUUUCCAUGGUCACCAAGGGAAACAGGCAGCUCCCUGACUCAUGCAAUUCCCUGGGGUCAGUCCUCAGUGGGAAGAGAGUAGAGUUUACAGGCCAGAAGUCAAUUUGAACAGUUCACACUACCCAAGGCACACAAGCCCAAGGCUAUGCGUAACAAACUUGAUGGCCCAACACAAGUUAGAACUCAGGUAAAAUUCAUGUAAAAAAAGAACCCCUUAAGUUUGCGACUUGGAGACAAACCACUGAGAUCCUAAGUCUACUGUCUUGGGAGAAAUAUUGGAAUUUAUUUUCCCUCAAAAUGAUCAGAAAAUAAACCUUUGGCCAGGCACAGUGGUUCACACCUAUAAUCCCAACACUCUGGGAGGCCAGGGCAGGAGGAUCGCUUGAGCUCAGGAGUUUGAGACCAGACUGGGCAACAUAGUGGAGACCCUGCCUGUUCAAAAAAAAAGAAAGAAAGAAAGAAAAGAAAUCCUUGGCUGCUUCAAACAAGCCAAACAGCUUGAGAUAUCUGAUGAGUGAUAAGAGUUUUAAAAAGCUGUAUUUGAGGAACUCACUUAUCUGCUUGGCAUUUGGUACAAUGCAAUGUUUAAAUGUUUUAAGAAAUCCAGUGAGUUAAGGGCAGGCCCUUUCUCCCAUGUCUCACUUUCUGCAUCAAAGACAACAAAUAAGCUGCUCUUGAUCCAGGGCCACCUGAAGAGCCUCUAGUGAGGUCACCAGCUAACACUUCCUCAUUCUGCCUGACCACUGCUUAGACACAGGUGAGUGGAUCUGGUCAGGAUUAAAUCCAAGGAAGGUCCAGUGCAGUCAGGAUCAAUCCUCUGGCGCCAACACUUCACACACUUGAGAUCUGUCUGCAACACAAGGGAUGUAAAAACUUAAGUAAUUCUUUUCAGUCUUCAAAAUGCCGAGUCAUUUUUAAAGAGACUAACAUUAAAGCAGAAGUUACUACAGUAUGUGUGUAUGUCUGUCUCAUGUCUGAGAAGGAACCUAUUGACUCCAAGAGACCAGAAUUGACUUGUUAAUGAGGACUGUAGAGUCCCCACCUAAGGAGGAUUGUGAAAAUGGCCUCAAUGCUUGGCAGGUCCUCCCAUGAAGAGGUGAUGUCUAUUUCUCUGCUCUUUGAUUCUGCAAUGGCAUUUCGAGUUGCUUUGGCCAACACAAUGAAGUAAAGUAUAACUGUCCAAGUUCUGAAACUGGGCCCCAAGAGUCUUUGGCACUUCCAGUCUCCCUCCUGGAACCUUCAGCUGCCAUCUGAACAAGACAGGACUAGUCUCUGGGUAAUGAGUGACCCCCAAGGUCCAUAUUCCCCACCAUUCCCUUUCUCUAUCACCCCAGCUGAUCGCCACCCAUUCCCUAGAAGCAGAGCUGGCUGACCAGCACCUGAGCACAGACUCAUAGGUGAACCCAGCUGAAACCAGCAGAAGAAAAGUCCAUCUGAGCCCAGUCCAAAUUGCUGGUUCACAGAAUUGCAGGCUAAAUAAA